rnacentral:tRNA from 1 species
CGGACGAGAAUARAGAUAGAGUCCCAUUCCACAUGUCA